ACCGGAACUUGCCGGAUUAACC
rnacentral:snRNA from 1 species